AUGCAUUUCAUAGAGAACAAAAGUAAUCAUGGCAGCAAAUAAAGAUAUCAUAUCAGAGUAGAAGGCUUGGUCUUGCAAUCAUAGCAGAUACAGGAAAAUAUGUUUGAUUUUCUGGCUACAUUCCUAAGAUGGUUAAACAUCCUUGGACAGAAGGAUACAUGAAUGGCUUUCAUUCUUCUUGCUUUCUUAAAAACUGAGAAAUCUAUUAACCAAACAGUCUGGAACAGCCAGUCAUAAAGUACUGAAGACCAAAUUCACCAACAUUAUAUUUGAGGAUGGAACUCAGACCAGUUUGGACUCACAAUUGGAUGCGUAAGGCCACAUUCUUGUAUUCAGGAACGCUUCUGUAACAGAAAGGGCUGGAGAUGCUCUUUCUCUCUCUUGUACUGCAUUGAAGAGCCUAUAAAGGUCAGGAAGCAAUAGAAAAUACAGGUGUGCAUCCUGCUGAGUGGACAAGAGCAUGAAGUAAGCCUUUCCCUGCUUCCAGGAUGAGUGUUCGAACUGUAUCCCCAGCAGAAAUUGCUCAUCUAGAUGUCAUAAGAUAAGAUAGAUGGAAUGAUUUUCAGCAUUGCUCAUGUACCUUGGGCAUGGAAGGUGGGCUUCAAGGUAAAAGUAUAUCUGCUCAGUAUCUUCUCAUCUGCAAGGCUGACAUGUGCCACUUGGAGGACAAAAGUGACUUCAGGAAGGACUGACAGCUAAACACUAAUUUUCAAAAAUCAAAGCCUUAAGCCUGCAUGCCAUAUUCUUAUGCUGACAAGUCACUGACAGAGUAUCAAGAAAUGGAGGCCACAAGAAACCUACCAAAUUCCCUGCAGAAGAUACCUGGGACAUAAUCGGAAUGAGGGGCUAUCACCAAAAGGUUGACAUUCCAAAGUGUUGAGCUCUACGGAUUUCCACAUCUGACUAUGGAAGCUGGAGACCUGUGAGAACCAGAUUUACAUUUACAUGUCUAAGAGCAGUCAUUUUCACACCUCUGGUGAAAUAUGGUUUCAGUGAAAUCAAGGACAAGUGUCACUUUUGGCUCAAUGGGACCAGGAUUCUUCAGCAAGAGAAAAAGUCUUUUGGACCCCAGAGACCCUGAAGCUUGAAAUAACAUCUUAGAGUGUCUCAACAAGUGCUGAUGAGAACUGAUUUCUCUGAGAUGAUAUACCCUGGAGCUGCUGGUCAUGCAGACUGUGAAAACUUUGUUUUGUGCUCUGAGAGGACCCACUGUUGUGACUUAAAUUGAAGAGGUGGGAAUAAACUUCUCAAGGAGGCACCCGGAUCAUCACUCACAUUUCAGCACAUGUAGGAAGAAGUGGAGGAAACAGUUACCAGAGAUAUCUGAGUAAUGGUGUUAAUCACACAGACUAAAGAGGUUGAAAGAAAGAUUCAGCACAUCCAGAACUGCAAAGAGAGCUGCAGCAGGGAACAUCAGCAAGGAC
ensembl:lncRNA